rnacentral:lncRNA from 1 species
UUAGGUUCAAAAUAUCCGAAUUUUCGCGUUAAUUCGGUGUGCCCUGGCUAUUGUGGCACAGACAUGACUGCAUAUACUGGAAGUUUAACUGCUGAAGAAGGUGCUGAAAGCUUGGUGAAACUUGCUUUGUUGCCAAAUGAUGGACCUUCUGGCCUCUUCUUUUACAGAAAGAAUGUCACCUCUUUUUAAAUAUUUAGCUAAUUCAACUAUCAAUAAUUGUACCGAUUCAGAAAUUAUAACGUUUAAAUUCUUGUCAAUUUUUUUUUCAUCGUAACAUUGUAUUGCACACAUUGAAUUCUGUGAAGAAAUGUUUGAAAUUUUAUGCUUUUAGGGAAAAUGCACAAGUAUCCCCUCGACUAUGACUAAAAUUCCAAAGACACAUCUUACUAAAGUCGUAUUAUCCCCCUGAACUUUUUUUUUUUUUUGUUAAUUUUGUGUACCUCUUUCGCUUACGUGACAUUCAAAUAUCUCUGACGCGCCUCAACUGCGUGGAGUCACAUAGACUGCCACAUAAGACAAAAGUUGUAUAAAAUUACAAAAAAAAAAGUUCAGGGGUAAUAGGACCUUAGUUUAGUUAACGUAUGUCUUUGAAAUUUUGGUCAUAGUCUAGAAGAUACUUGUACAUUUUCCUUAAUAUUUAUUAAGUUUUUUUUUCAACUAAAAGUAUAAAUAUCUAAAUAGAAAUAUUAGCCUAAUUAUUUUUAUUUUGGACUCUCUUUAUUUUUAAAUUUUAAUAUUAUAUUAUAUUUUUAAAUUAAUUUUUAUUGGCCCACGCCGAGCCAAUCAAUAUUUCUUAAGCCUCCCAAAUGAGCAAACUUAUUCAAGGCGAGCUAAAAAACCUUUUUCUUAAAUGGGCUUCAAAAAUCUUAAUUCAACCCUAUUAAAUUUUGAAUUAGGUCAGACCAGCCCAACGAACCUAGCCUAUAUCGACGGCUCUUAUAAAAACAUAUCUUUCAAACCUAUUUAGAAUUAGAAUAGCUAAAACGUGUUGCUAUUACCUGUACCACAGAAUUUUGUCAUAUUUCAAAAUAUUUCAGAACAAUGAGUUAAUAGGUGGAGAUGUCAUUGAUUACAACAUCUCAAUUAACACCAACAGUCAAGUUAAAAUUUUGUGAAUGCGUGGCUUGUAGCCAUUAUUACUCCCUCAAUUCAUUUGUAGUUGUUAUGUUGUAUUUUUCUUCUUAAUUUGGUUGAUUUUUAAAAUGAAAUUAAAUUAUAUUAAUUUAAUAUUUUUUUAAAAAUUAAAUAUUUAAAAAUAAAAUUAUGAUAAUAUAAAAUAAACAGAAAACAUGAUUUAAAAGUAGAAAUAACAGUCUUCUUGUUCAUUUUGCGUGCUUUUAAUAUUAAUUGAUGAGGCUGGGACCUGGACCUAACAUAUAUAAUACAGCUCUUCAAGAACAGGAAAAUAAUUCAAGUAUGGAACCUGCAAACAUAUGGAUUUGGCCGUUCUAAAGUUGGUAUUAAUUUUUAGUUAGAUAUCUUAAUUAAGUUUAGUUUAUUUUAGGCAUCUCAUCUCAUGUCAUUUUUUGUUGUGUCAUCUUGACACUUUUUACUGACAUGACAUAGUGAGUAUAAUACACUCAAUAGCAGUGGUGAAAGACUUAUUUAAUUAUUUUUAUUUUGUUUUAUUUUCAUUUUCUUUCACAUUAUUCAGUCACCAUCUCUCAAAACUUAAACUUCUUCAAUGGAGAAAUAGUGUUGACGAUGCUAUAGACAAAAAAAGCGAAUUUCAACAUGAAGAGAAUUCACAAAAGAUAAAUUUCAACCCGUUAAAAAGUCAUGAUUCAUGUUGUCGCAAAGAAAAAAGGACAAUGAAAAAACUUUUAAAAGACCGUGGGUGGGAAUGGGAGAGGGGUGGAGAAGACGAUAUGGGUGGGGAAGGGAUUGGGGUUAGGGUGGGCAAAGAUGUAGAAGAUGUUGGGUGGGUGGGGAACAAUAAAGAAAACGAUUUGAGUGGGUGGACGGAGAAGAUGACCUUGGUGGGCUUGGUUUUUUUCUUUGAAUUUUUUGUGUAAAAAAUUUCACAUGUCAUUAAGUCAUUAAGAUAUGAGUCUUCUUUUUAAGUUUGUUAAGAGUACAUUACAGGUCUGAUUCAUUCAGAUAUAUUUAAAUCCAUUAAGAGACUUAUAAAGAAAUAAAACAAACAAACUUAAUAAACUGAAUCUGAAUAAAUAAAAUUCAAUUCUCAAAAAUUACACUCUUUAAUAAAACAAAUUUGAAUGACUAAGAUUCACACUCGGUAAUUAUAAACACCGGAGGCCUAACACAAACAAAUGAGUAAUAGUCUAAGAGCAUAUAGUUUGAAAAAUUAUUAUACAUAUAUCUAAAAGGGAAUGUCUGACUUGUCAAAACAAAACUCUAACCAGUAGUUGAGUAACACCAACAAGUUCUACUUGGAAGACUUGGAUAUAGAAUUCAUCUAAGUGACGUAGGGUUAGGAGUUUAAAGAAAAAUAUUACAAGGUACUGUGGGUUCGAACUAACAAUAAUAAUGCGAAAAUAUUUUUACCGUCAACUUUUAUUAUUAAGUUGACAAUAAAUUUUAUUAUGAAAUUUAUAAAAUGCUUGUGAAUUUUGUCCAAACCCAUCAAUCCCUAUCUAGCUCCAUGUUUACGUGCUGAUGAAAUAUCCUUUGGAACAUCAUAUUUGACUAAUAAAUUCUACGAUUGACAUGGACAUGAGGAAUAGAGCAAAACAUAGUUAGCUGGCCUCUAUUAUUAUAUAUUAUAGGGAUAAUGCCCAAGUAUCCCUCAACGUAUGUCCGAAAUCUCAGAGACACACUUAUACUAUACUAAGGUCCUAUUACCCCUGAACUUAUUUUAUUAAUAAUUUUUUACCCCUUUUUAGUCUACGUGGCACUAUCUUGUGGGCCCAGUGAUGGUUGUCUUUUUUUUUCAAACUAGUGCCACGUAAGCUAAAAAGGGUAGAAAAUUACUUAUAAAAUAAUUUCAGGAGGUAAUAGACCUUAGUAUAGUAUAAGUGUGUCUCUGAGAUUUCGGGCAUAGGUUGAGAGCUACUUGUACAUUUUCCCUAUAUUAUAUAAUUGUAUCUUCUGCACAAAUUGUACCAAACCAAUACACUGUUAGACCAAAAGGGUAAAUAUCAAGAAUUUAGAACUAACAAUUAUCCUUUAAAAAAUGGCAGAGGAAAUCAGCACCCUCCAAAGCAAAAGGUAAUUUAAAUUAUGAGUAGCUAAUCUUUUUACUAUCAGUGUAUAUAAUUUAAAUUUUGUUACGCAUAUCUGAGCAAUACUAAUACUGGUAUAUGGUAUGAUCAGGUAUGCAGUAGUGACUGGUGGAAACAAAGGAAUAGGAUAUGAAACAUGCAAGCAAUUAGCAAGCAAAGGAUUAGUGGUAGUGUUGACAUCAAGAGAUGAAAAGAGAGGGAUUGAAGCUAUUGAAAGGCUUAAAAAGGAGUUAAACAUUACUAAUAAUAAUGAUCACAUUUUGUUUCAUCAACUUGAUGUUAUGGAUCCAGCUAGUAUUUCUUCUCUUGUGGACUUUAUCAACACAAAUUUUGGAAGGCUCGAUAUUCUGGUAAGUAAUAUUUAUCACUCCAUCACUUUCGUAUUCUUUAAAGAAAUGAGAAAUUAUGAAUACUUCAAAUUUGCAGGUUAACAACGCAGGGGUUAGUGGAUUAAUGGUGGAAGGAAAUCUUGUUAUACUAAAAAAUUUAAUUGAAGGAGAUUUCGAGACCAUUUCUACUGAAAAUCAAGUAUGAAUUUUAAUUUCUAUUAAUAAAAUUACGUUUUCAAAAGUUAUUAAAGUUGAUCGAUACCUAAAAUCGUUUAAUUAAUUAUGUAGGUUGAGGACGAAAGUGUUGUGGAGAAAUCAAUUGAAGGUAUCGUUACAAAUUAUGAGUUGACAAAACAAUGCAUAGAGACAAACUUUUAUGGUGCAAAAAGGAUGAGUGAAGCAUUUAUCCCUCUCCUUCAACUCUCUAAUUCACCAACGAUUGUUAAUGUUGCUUCUUUCUUAGGAAAAUUGAAGGUAAUUAACUAAAAUACUUUAUCUGUUUAUUUUUACUUGUCCACUGUACUAUUUUGAUAUUAUUUGUACAAUUGUAUUGAGUGAUUUUCGAUUUCCUAUGUACAGUUAUUGUGUAACGAAUGGGCUAAAAAAGUGCUAAGUGAUGCAAAAAGCCUAACAGAAGAAAGGAUAGAGCAAGUGUUAAAUGAAUUUCUCAAAGAUUUUAUAGAAAAUUCAGUUGAAUCCAAAGGAUGGCCAACUUACUUUGCAGCUUACAAAGUGUCAAAAGCAUCGUUGAUUGCCUACACAAGAGUUUUAGGUUCAAAAUAUCCGAAUUUUCGCGUUAAUUCGGUGUGCCCUGGCUAUUGUGGUACAGACAUGACUGCAUAUACUGGAAGUUUAACUGCUGAAGAAGGUGCUGAAAGCUUGGUGAAACUUGCUUUGUUGCCAAAUGAUGGACCUUCUGGCCUCUUCUUUUACAGAAAGGAUGUCACCUCGUUUUGAACAUUUGGCUAAUUCAACUUUUAAGUAAUAACUUAUUAUCAAUCAACUGCUCCAUAAGAAAUAAGUCGGGUUGGUUGUAUGAAUUAUUUGUCUAUUCAGCUAGAUUAUGUUUUAUUCUUACUUGUACUACUUUCAUUGCAAACAACAGGCCUACUAUAAGUGUCAUGUUGCUCAGACACUUCUAAAGAAAAGUUGAACUUGAGUCUGAAUCCAAAAAUAAUAGUAUGGUGCUUGUGUUUGAUACUCAAAAGAUAUGAUAUUAUUGUGCUUGUUAUGUAGUGGAGCCUGAUUUAUUUUAGGUUUUCCUAUUUAUUCUCUGUAACCAAAAUACUCUGAUUUAUUAAUAUAAAUAUACCUCACUGCCGUGGAAGUUUACUCACGGGGUUUUACCACGAAA